UACAGAGGUCCCAAGCGUUGUUCGGAUUCAUUGGGCGUAAAGGGUGCGUAGGUGGCGCCGUAAGUCGGGUGUGAAAUUUCGGAGCUUAACUCCGAAACUGCAUUCGAUACUGCGGUGCUUGAGGACUGGAGGGGAGACUGGAAUUCAUGGUGUAGCAGUGAAAUGCGUAGAGAUCAUGAGGAAGACCAGUGGCGAAGGCGGGUCUCUGGACAGUUCCUGACACUGAGGCACGAAGGCCAGGGGAGCAAACGGG
rnacentral:rRNA from 1 species